ACAUGCCUACAACAUAGCAUUAAUUCACUGGAUCCCAUGAGAACUCCGCAGUUAAGUGCACUCAGGCUAGAGUAUUAUUGGGAUGGGUGACUACCUAGGAAUUCCUAGUGUUUUACAUGCC
rnacentral:rRNA from 1 species